GUCUAUGGCGGGCCGGGCGGGGCCAGCUUUGGCUGGGCCGGUUCCUGUAUCCCGGUUUCCACCCUCGUUCGGUCUGCCACCCUU
rnacentral:antisense_RNA from 1 species